rnacentral:rRNA from 2 species
AACGCGAAGAACCUUACCUGGGCUUGAACUACUGGUAGUAAGUCUUUGGAAACAGGGACUGACCCGCAAGGGAGCCAGCAGAGGUGCUGCAUGGUUGUCGUCAGCUCGUGUCGUGAGAUGUUGGGUUAAGUCCCGCAACGAGCGCAACCCCUAUCUCAUGUUGCUACCUGCGCAAGCAGGGCACUUUUGAGAAACUGCCUUCGAUAAGAAGGAGGAAGGUGGGGACGACGUCAAAUCCUCAUGGCCCUUAUGUCCAGGGCUACACACGUGCUACAAUGGCCGGUACAACGGGAAGCAAUACCGUAAGGUGGAGCCAAACCCUAAAAGCCGGCCCCAGUUCAGAUCGUGGGCUGCAACUCGCCCACGUGAAGGCGGAAUCGCUAGUAAUCGCGAAUCAGCAGGUCGCGGUGAAUACGUUCCCGGGCCUUGUA